rnacentral:rRNA from 1 species
UUACACGACCGUACCGCAAACCGACACUGGUGCGCGAGAUGAGUAUUCUAAGGCGCUUGAGAGAACUCAGGAGAAGGAACUCGGCAAAUUGACACCGUAACUUCGGAAGAAGGUGUGCCUUUAGUAGGUGAACCUGUACAAGGGGAGCCCAAUGAGGUUGCAAAAAAUCGGUGGCUGCGACUGUUUAAUAAAAACACAGCACUCUGCAAACACGAAAGUGGACGUAUAGGGUGUGACGCCUGCCCGGUGCUGGAAGAUUAAAUGAUGGGGUGCAAGCUCUUGAUUGAAGUCCCAGUAAACGGCGGCCGUAACUAUAACGGUCCUAAGGUAGCGAAAUUCCUUGUCGGGUAAGUUCCGACCUGCACGAAUGGCGUAACGAUGGCCACACUGUCUCCUCCUGAGACUCAGCGAAGUUGAAAUGUUUGUGAUGAUGCAAUCUCCCCGCGGAAAGACGGAAAGACCCCAUGAACCUUUACUGUAGCUUUGUAUUGGACUUUGAACAGAUCUGUGUAGGAUAGGUGGAGGCUUUGAAGUGUGGUCGCUAGAUCGCAUGGAGCCAACGUUGAAAUACCACCCUGGUGUGUUUGAGGUUCUAACCUAGGCCCGUAAUCCGGGUCGGGGACAGUGCAUGGUAGGCAGUUUGACUGGGGCGGUCUCCUCCCAAAGCGUAACGGAGGAGUUCGAAGGUACGCUAGGUACGGUCGGACAUCGUGCUAAUAGUGCAAUGGCAUAAGCGUGCUUAACUGCGAGACUGACAAGUCGAGCAGAUGCGAAAGCAGGACAUAGUGAUCCGGUGGUUCUGUAUGGAAGGGCCAUCGCUCAACGGAUAAAAGGUACUCUGGGGAUAACAGGCUGAUACCGCCCAAGAGUUCAUAUCGACGGCGGUGUUUGGCACCUCGAUGUCGGCUCAUCUCAUCCUGGGGCUGUAGCCGGUCCCAAGGGUAUGGCUGUUCGCCAUUUAAAGAGGUACGUGAGCUGGGUUUAAAACGUCGUGAGACAGUUUGGUCCCUAUCUUCCGUGGGCGCUGCAGAUUUGAGGAAGCCUGCUCCUAGUACGAGAGGACCGGAGUGGACACACCUCUGGUGUAUCGGUUGUCACGCCAGUGGCAUUGCCGAGUAGCUAUGUGUGGAAGAGAUAACCGCUGAAAGCAUCUAAGCGGGAAACUCGUUUCAAGAUGAGAUCUGCCGGGGCCUUGAGCCCCCUAAAGAGUCGUUCAAGACCAGGACGUUGAUAGGUCGGGUGUGGAAGCGCAGUAAUGCGUUAAGCUAACCGAUACUAAUUGCUCGUGCGGCUUGACC